rnacentral:rRNA from 1 species
UACGGAGGAUCCGAGCGUUAUCCGGAUUUAUUGGGUUUAAAGGGUGCGUAGGCGGCACUUUAAGUCAGGGGUGAAAGACGGCAGCUCAACUGUCGCAGUGCCCUUGAUACUGAAGUGCUUGAAUGCGGUUGAAGACGGCGGAAUGAGACAAGUAGCGGUGAAAUGCAUAGAUAUGUCUCAGAACACCGAUUGCGAAGGCAGCUGUCUAAGCCGUUAUUGACGCUGAUGCACGAAAGCGUGGGGAUCGAACAGGAUUAGAUACCCUGGUAGUCCACGCCCUAAACGAUGAUGACUCGAUGUUUGCGAUAUACCGUAAGCGUCCAAGCGAAAGCGUUAAGUCAUCCACCUGGGGAGUACGCCCGCAAGGGUGAA